rnacentral:lncRNA from 1 species
GGUGCUUGUGAUGAUUUCAGGGUAAUCUAGUAACCAUGAUUAUUGGUGUCUACAGUGGCAAUGAGUUCUUUUGGGAUCUCGUGGUGACUGCUGAUGGUAUUCUCCUGAUCUCUUUUUCUUUUACAGAAAUAUUUGCGACUGAGUAAGAGGACGUUGCAGCCUGGCAGCAGAUAUCGCCAGCCCAUGGGGACAAGCGACCAGGAAGCCGCUCCCUCCCAGAUGGGCCGCCAUGGCUAACUGGGACCUCCAGCACCAACAAGUCUCAAUCCUCAGGGAGGACCUGCCUAAGUAUGGUGACUUCAUGUUCCAGUCCUUGAAACUCGAAAGCGGAAGAAACACACAGAAGACACUGUGGUAGGAAUGGAGCCUCCUUCCUGGUGUGAGAACGCUGCUUAACCUGGAAUGAGACUAUCUAGAAAGUCAUAACAAUCCGAAAAAUCCCAAUGCUACAGAAGGAUCCAAGUUCGGGAUGUUCAUCUGCUGUGGGGACUGCAGGCAAUGGAAAGUCUGGUCAUCAACAGUUCCAUUCUCUUCAGUGUCAACAAAGGUCUGGGUUGUGUGAGGAUCCAAGAAGAUGAGCUCAUCACCUAAGAAUCCUAUGACAUAAUGGGUGUUAUUUGGUUUUCCUCCUGAUGCCCCUAAAGACUGUGGGAUCUUAAAACACUCUUUGAAUGCAUCAACAUACACAGGAUCGAUUUGGUGUAUGCCCAAGCAAAGGGGCACAAUGAGGAGCAGGGGUUUCUAGGCUGGGCAGAAGGCAGAGGUGCCUUUACUCUGGUUCAAAGUGAUAAAAGAACCAGGGGCUUUCGUCAGCUGCGUCAGCAUGAAAGGGAAGGACUCGGCACAUUUUCUUGAUAUCCUCAAUGACCACUGUGUUAUCCAUUGAAACAUAAACAGCCAAGGAAUUCCAUUCAUCAAAUAAAGCAAGUUUUUUUAAUACCUGUGCAACUGUAUUUGGUCCAAACCAUUCGCCAACUGAUUUCCCCUCUCCUACACCCAUUUGUGCCAUUUGAUGGAUAGAAUAGCAACAGUCUUUUCUAUCUAAGAAUCACUGUAGGAUCCGUUGGUAUUCUUUGGGUUGUUCUUUUUGUUUCUCCCAGUUUCAGUCCCUUCCCAAGUGUCUACAGAUAAAGGCUUGAGCCAGCAUCAUCUGUCCACAACGCAGUAUACAUCCCCAGCCCGCGU